ACCUGGGUAGCUUAGUUGGAAGAGUGUAGGACUCUUGAUCCUGGGGUCUUGAGUUCAAGCUCUGCAUGGGUC
rnacentral:tRNA from 1 species